rnacentral:rRNA from 1 species
GAUGAACGCUGGCGGCGUGCCUAAUACAUGCAAGUCGAGCGAACAGACGAGGAGCUUGCUCCUCUGACGUUAGCGGCGGACGGGUGAGUAACACGUGGAUAACCUACCUAUAAGACUGGGAUAACUUCGGGAAGCCGGAGCUAAUACCGGAUAAUAUAUUGAACCGCAUGGUUCAAUAGUGAAAGACGGUUUUGCUGUCACUUAUAGAUGGAUCCGCGCCGCAUUAGCUAGUUGGUAAGGUAACGGCUUACCAAGGCGACGAUGCGUAGCCGACCUGAGAGGGUGAUCGGCCACACUGGAACUGAGACACGGUCCAGACUCCUACGGGAGGCAGCAGUAGGGAAUCUUCCGCAAUGGGCGAAAGCCUGACGGAGCAACGCCGCGUGAGUGAUGAAGGUCUUCGGAUCGUAAAACUCUGUUAUUAGGGAAGAACAAAUGUGUCAGUAACUAUGCACGUCUUGACGGUACCUAAUCAGAAAGCCACGGCUAACUACGUG